CACGAUCCUAGUAUCUUUUAAACAAUUGAUCUAGUCUAGGUGAGGCAUAAUGCACAUGGUCUGUUCAGCUGAGCUGUCUCUAUGUUGUUCAACUGGAUAGAAAUAUUUAAUAUAAUUUUUGUAUAACUUCAGGUAGUAAUAUUUUUUGUUUGUCAUGCAGAAGCUGUUUCAUACUAAUUUUUGCUAAUUAUAUUUCCAUGCUCUACUCUAGCCGAACAAGAACUUCGUAUCAUUAGGUUUAUCAAACAUGUAAAAGUAGACCAGCAACAUUCAUAGCUGUUGCUUAAGUAUCCCUGUCUACAAUUGGUCCUAACUCCUAACAUCACUUAAUAGGAACAGCAGGUCAUGCUGCUAUUAGUGUGCACCUAACACUUUGUAAAGGUGGAAAGGAGAUUAAUGCUAAUGGUUGUCGUUAAAUUAGGCAGGCUUCAAUGGAAUUGCAAAUUGACAGAUCAGUUUCCUUAAGAUUCACCCCUCCUACCAAUCGUUCUACUAUUCUAUUCUGUCUUUUUUCGAUAGCGUAAAUUAUA
rnacentral:lncRNA from 1 species